rnacentral:rRNA from 1 species
AUGGAGGCGGUGCAAGUCGACAAUGAGGAGACGUCGGCGUCUGCCCUGGAGCUAAACCUCCUCGGCGCUCUUGGCGUUGAGGAGGAGAAGGGAAAGGCCAUGUCGAGCCAGGCGGCCGGGCCGUCGGUGGCGGCAGCCGGAGGCGGCGCUUCUCGCCGCAUGUUCAAGUGCAACUAUUGCCAACGCAAGUUCUACACGUCGCAGGCGCUAGGCGGCCACCAGAACGCACACAAGCGCAAGCGCUCCCUCGCCAUGGGCAUUGCCGCGGGGCGGGGUACCGGCCCUGGCGGCCCCCUAGUGCCGCACCACUUCCGCUUCCCCAGCGUCUGGCCCUAUUCCGCCACCGGAAGGUCGUUCGUCGGCGCCGCGACGCCGUUCUACGGGAUGCACAUGCACUACAACUGCCCAGGAUGGGGCCCGGCGGCCCAGCCGUCUUUGGCUGGGCUCACCCAUCACGCUGGCGCCAACCAGCCGAUGUACCGGGCGGAGGCCGGCUAUGGCGCGUCUCUCAGGGCUCCCAUCUCGGGCUUCCCUGACGCUGCGCCGGCGAUGACCGCGAUCCAGUGGGCCGGUGGCAGCGGCAGUGGCAACGGUGGCGAUCAUAACGUUAGUGAAGUGAAGCAAGAUGAGGAAGUCGCCAGCAAGAUAGACUUGACUCUCAAGCUCUAG